rnacentral:rRNA from 1 species
GACGAACGCUGGCGGCGUGCCUAAUACAUGCAAGUCGAACGCACUCUCGUUUAGAUUGAAGGAGCUUGCUCCUGAUUGAUAAACAUUUGAGUGAGUGGCGGACGGGUGAGUAACACGUGGGUAACCUGCCCUAAAGUGGGGGAUAACAUUUGGAAACAGAUGCUAAUACCGCAUAAAACCUAACACCGCAUGGUGUAGGGUUGAAAGAUGGUUUCGGCUAUCACUUUAGGAUGGACCCGCGGUGCAUUAGUUAGUUGGUGAGGUAAAGGCUCACCAAGACCGUGAUGCAUAGCCGACCUGAGAGGGUAAUCGGCCACACUGGGACUGAGACACGGCCCAGACUCCUACGGGAGGCAGCAGUAGGGAAUCUUCCACAAUGGACGAAAGUCUGAUGGAGCAACGCCGCGUGAGUGAAGAAGUUUUCGGAUCGUAAAACUCUGUUGUUGGAGAAGAAUGUAUCCGAUAGUAACUGAUCAGGUAGU